AUGGCUGCCUCCGUGACGAGCUCCGCAUAUGUUUUUGUGUUUUUGUUAGUCUGUCCUGUCUUUAGUUAUAUUCCUGCCAUCAGUUUCACCAGGGAAGAACUGCUGAACAUUCGGCAGAACGCACCACAAGAUGUUUUUCCGGAUUUCAAUUAUUCAGAUGUUUUACUGAACGUUGUUAUCGGAGGAGCAGCGGCGCUGAUCAAGCGCUUCAGGACGCGCAGACGGGGGAAGCGAGUGGGAGCGCUCGUCAGACUCAGGAAGCGCGGAUUUCGAACGCCGUUGCCUAGCAUCCAUCUGGCAAAUCUCCACUCUCUACCCAACAAAACGGACGAACUCCUUCUGCUUUCUCGGACAAAUAAGGAUUUCACACACUCUGCUGCUCUGUGUUUCACGGAAACCUGGCUGAAUGACACCAUACCGGACAGCGCGCUCCAUCUGCCGGGCUUUCAGCUGUUUAGAGCGGACCGCGAAUCAGAAUCGACUGGGAAAUCGCGCGGUGGCGGGACAUGCUUUUACAUCAAUGAACGGUGGUGUACAGAUGUAACUGUGUUAAAGAAGACGUGCUGCUCAAAUCUCGAAACACUCUUCAUUAACUGCAAGCCGUUCUAUUCGCCGCGGGAGUUUCACUCGCUCAUUCUGGUCAGUGUUUACAUCCAUCCUCAAGCGCAUGUGAGCUCAGCUUUACAGAAACUCGCUGAUCAGAUCACAGACACAGAACAACAACACCCGGACUCUGUUUUAAUCAUUCUCGGGGACUUUAAUAAAGCCAAUCUGUCCCGUGAACUGCCAAAAUACAGACAGCAUGUUACAUGUCCCACAAGAGACAGUAAUAUAUUGGAUCACUGUUACACCACAAUAAAGGAUGCAUUUCACUCUGUUCCACGAGCAGCUUUGGGACGUUCUGAUCACCUUCUGGUUCAUCUUAUACCGUCCUACAGGCAGAAACUAAAAUCAGCUAAACCUGUAUCAAGGACUGUAAAAAGAUGGACUAAUGAAGCAGAGCAGGAUUUACAAUCUUGUUUUGACCUCACUGAUUGGAGUGUUUUUGAAGCUGCUGCCACCGAUCUGGAUGAACUCACAGAGACUGUAACAUCAUAUAUCAGUUUCUGUGAGGAUAUGUGUAUUCCUACAAAGACUCAACUAAUUUACAAUAAUGACAAACCGUGGUUCAUUGCAAAACUCAGACAGCUCCGUCAGGCCAAAGAAGAUGCUUACGUGAAGGGGGACAAUGUCUUGUAUAAACAGGCUAAAUACACAUUGGAAAAGGAGAUCAAAGUGGCAAAGAGGAAUUAUUCUGAAAAAAUAAGGACUCAGUUCACUUCCAACGACUCCGCAUCAGUGUGGAAAAGUCUAAAGAAGAUCACCAAUUACAAGACACCAUCCCCCAGCACUGUAGAGAAUCAACGACUGGCAGACGAUCUGAACGAGUUUUACUGCAGGUUUGAAAGAACACCCAUCACCUGCCCUGAACGCCUCCCCACAAAACCAUUCACACCCUUCACAACUCCUGCAACCAGCCCUGAAUGCCUCUCCAAACUACCGUUCACACCAUUAACAGCUCCUGCAACCCAUCCUGAACACCUCUCCAAUCAAGCACUCUCACCAUUCUCACCUCCUGCAUCCCCCCUCUCCCCCACACCUGCAAUUCAGAUCAGCGAGGAUGCGGUGCGCCAGGUCUUCCGGAAGCAGAAAAGGAAAAAAGCACCAGGCCCAGAUUGUGUUACAAUCUGGCUGUCUGAAAUCCUGUGCUGA
ensembl:lncRNA